rnacentral:rRNA from 1 species
UACGGAGGGUGCGAGCGUUAAUCGGAAUUACUGGGCGUAAAGGGUUCGUAGGUGGUUGGAUAAGUUAUCUGUAAAAUCCCUGGGCUUAACCUGGGCAGGUCAGAUAAGACUGUUUGACUCGAGUAUGGGAGAGGGUAGUGGAAUUUCCGGUGUAGCGGUGAAAUGCGUAGAGAUCGGAAGGAACACCAGUGGCGAAGGCGGCUACCUGGCCUAAUACUGACACUGAGGAACGAAAGCGUGGGGAGCAAACAGGAUUAGAUACCCUGGUAGUCCACGCCGUAAACGAUGUCAACUAGCUGUUGGUCAUAUUGAUAUGAUUAGUGGCGCAGCAAACGCGAUAAGUUGACCGCCUGGGGAGUACGGUCGCAAGAUUA